GGGGCUGACCGGUUUUGACAGCGUGUAGAGGUGGUGUGUAAGCGUGCAGAGCCAUGAUGAAAGCCUCUUUAAUCCCGCAUCAAAAAAUUUAAUUGGCGAAAAUAAUCUCGCUCUCGCUGCCUGAUUGAAGCACAGUAGAUCGGCUUAAUCCCCGCGACAGUCGCAGGGACGAGACAUCGCCCGAUUGUCCAAUUCCCGUGACGAAUCGAACAGGCGGUGUAAGUAAUUCGGGAAUAGGAAGCCGCGUGCCUCGACACGGCCUCCGAAAACUCAGAGGAUAAGGGCGCGGUUGGUCGUCUUCGGCCUGCCACGCCACGAAAACCAAGCGAAGAAUACGCACGUAGAAAGCACAUUAGUUCCGCGUUUGGACGAGGGUUCAACCCCCUCCAGCUCCACU
rnacentral:tmRNA from 1 species